rnacentral:rRNA from 1 species
UGCUUAUUGCUAUAUAAUAAUAAGUAAAUUCUGCCCAGUGAUAUAAUUUUAACGGCCGCGGUACCCUGACCGUGCAAAGGUAGCAUAAUCACUUGCCUUUUAAUUGAAGGCUAGAAUGAAUGAAUAAACGCUAAUCUAACUUUUCCAAAUAUUGCCAUAAAAAUUAAUCUUCAGGUGAAGAAGCCUGAAUCCUAUAAAAAGACAAGAAGACCCUAUCAAGCUUUAUAUUUAUUACAAUCAUAUUAUAUAAAAUAUUUAGUUGGGGCGACUGAUGGAAAACCCUACUCUUCCAUAAUUUUAAAGAACUAUUAUUCUUCAUAUUUAAAAUUUAAAACAAGAAAGCUACUGUAGGGAUAACAGGCUAAUAUUUUCUAAGAGUCCAAAUUAAAGAAAAUGAUUGGCACCUCGAUGUUGGCUUAGGGAUCUCUUUCUCCUGCAGAAGGGAGAUAAGGUAGUUUGUUCAACUAUUAAACCCCU